CUAAGUCAAUAUGCAGCCUGCAGGGAUCCUUAUGGACAGUUUAGUGGCCCUCAUUUCUAUUUGAGUUUGGUAAGACUGGCCUAAGUGAUUUCUAGGAACUUUCCAGCUCAAAAUCCUGUAAUCCAAAGAAACAGCAUGAUGGAAGCAAUGACCCAUAACCUGGCCCCCACCCUUUGUAAGAGCAUGUUGGCACCAUAGAGGUUGAGUGUAAGAGCAGUCUGGCUCCAGAGGUCCCUUUCAGGCUCCAGUAAUAGAACAUUGCUCUCUUUCCAUUGAUAGAGCUGCACACAAUGCGGAUGGGAGCAUCCCAAGGCCCAAGGCACAUGUUAAAGACUAGAUUCACAGGAUCAGAGAUUUAGAAUCAGAAGGGACCCCAGAGUCCAUCUAAUCCAACUACCUCCUUUUGCAGAUGAGGAAACUGAGACCUAGAAAAAGUGUAGUGACUUCCCCCCAGCACUCAAUCCCUUGUACUAUGCUAUCUCCCCAGGCACUCAUACCCUAUCCUCGAGGACCUCACAGACAGCCUGGUUCAGAAAACUAACAGACAUGAAACUGCUAGUGGCUCUGAAUGGCCUGGCUCUUCUUUAACCAGUCCCUGUGUUUAGCUAGAGGAGAGUAGUCAAAGAUGCGUUCAUCUUUGAAAGGUCUGCUCAGGGUCCUGGUUCUCUACCAUCCUCCUCCAGCCAACAUCCGCCCCUCCCUCCCCCUCCAGUCUUAACUUGCUUCCAGCUCAGGCAGAGACUCAAGGCUUCCAUGUGGUCAGCACAUUCCUUUCCGGAAUUACCCUGCGAGUGAAACACUGGGGGCCCUGUUUGCUGCAUUUUGUAGAGAUUUUAGCUCUACAGGGUUCUCUCAGAAGCCUCCAGAGCUUUCUUUUUAUUAUUUCCAGAGGGGAACGUGCCUGCCUCUGAGACCAGGCUUCCCUAACCUACCAGGGGUACUAGCCCAGACAUUGGAGGUCAGGGGAGAUGCUCUGGCUUCUUCAAGUGUUAAGCCCCUUUCUUCACUGCCCAUAUGGACACUUCCAUUUGGUGGAGAGGAUGCUAAGGGUCUCUUAUUGUGUUACAGCCAUACCUAAUAGGCCUGCUGGUAUUCCUUGGACCAUUCCCUGGCCUCCCUCAGAUCUGCUUUCAGAGGCCCAGCAAGUGCCUCAGUAGAAGGAACUCCUGAAGCUCAUGACUGCUUGAAUGAAAGCAUGGCAGUUCCUCGUCGGGGUAACUAUCAAUGUCAACGUCCUUUCCACAGAUGAAUCCAUCACCAGCCCAACCAACACCACACUAUGAAGAGAAAUUCCAUUACGGAAGUCAGGCAGUGAUGCUUGCUGUCAGUUGGCAAACACUUGAACUCCUGCUUAACCCAACCCCAAAGCCCCAGGAGGACUGAGUCAAUUGCGUUUCUAUUGAGAUGAAGCUCCAUCCUUGCUGUUUUGUGCAGGCUCCUCGGACCAGCAGUCUGCUUCCUGAGACAAUGCCUGUGAAGAUACCAUCCAACUGUAAGGUACCAUAGGCCAGGAGGACGGGAGAGAGAGGCACGAUAGCGAACUGUCUGAAGCUGCUUGAAUGUUUUUUUUCUCCAUCUACUUUCCUUUCUAUCCCAUAGUAGGUAGGGCAUAAGGAGAAGAAACAAUUAUGUGGUCUCUGUGGAAAGAACACUGGGUGGAGAAUUAGGUGCUCAAAUAUCAACUGCUAUUUAUCUCCUGUGGCACUUCGGACAAGUCACCUUACUCUCCUGCUCUCGGUUUCCUCAGUUGAGAAAUAGCUGGACUGAACUGUUAGAAGGGGCUGAGCUUUCCAGUGGAAUUAGACGGCUUCCCUCUAGGGGCACUACAGUAAAAAUGUAGGCAUUCCUUUGUCUACUAGACAUCGGUCCAGGCAUUGAGAAAAACAUCUGCAGCUCUGAGGAGAGAUUCUCUGUGAGUUGGGCUGUGGUUUUACUUAAAAUAAAAGAAGGGCUGAAUGUGAUAAUGCACCUUAAGAUUCACCAAAGGCUUUCUACAGUCCUCUAAAAUGAUCUUCACAAUAGCCCCAUGAGAUGAGAAUUAUCCCCAUCAUACAAUACGGAUGAGGCUCAGAGUGACUUACUCACGGUCACAUGCAAGGCCUGAGGCAGGAUUCAAACUCAGGUCUCUGGGGACUCCAAGUCCAGUGGUCUUUCCACUAUACCAUGCUACCUCCUGCCUUUCUGACAGUGCAGUAAACAUGUGAUAAGGGCAGGCUGGGAAAGAAAACUGUUAGAAAACAGUCGCUUUAUUUCAUCUCCUUAUAAACAACAUGUCAGGAUGGAGGUAGGUCCCAUGGGCCAUGAUGCUCCCAUUAACUCUCCAUUUUUGCCAACUGUUUCCCAUUUAUUUUUAUUGCUUUUCCAAGAACCGUGUUUCCUUAGGCUGACUUCACAUGCAAAGAAGCUGGGGAAGUGAGUGUUUGAAUAGUUCGCCUGGGGACCACAUGGCAGUUAGACAAUGGCCCCUCCAUCCCUAGCCGGCUGUCUGGCUUGCUGACCUCACUCGCUUAGAAACAGCUGAUAGGAAUUUUCAGAAAUGUGCUGGUAAGGACUGAAAUGAUUAAAUCAUAGCAGCUAAAUGCAUUUCAGAAAGUACCCUGGCAUGCCAAGCCAUUCUCCGUAGCAUGCAGGGAUUCUGAAGCACAUCCCAGAGGAGUUAGACGUGCAGCUGUGAAGACACAUUGGGUCCCUUCAAAAGCACUGCGCUCUAAGCACUCUGGACCUGCGAUAGCAACAGGAAAUGCCUUUUAAAUAUGACCAUCUUUAAAGAAUAAGUAUCUUAAAGAUAAUUCCUUCACAUGCUUGUAUUCAAAAGCACAUUGAUAAAACUCGACGGGACGUGAGAGGACGUGGGUGGCUUGUCAAUUCCCUGUAUAAACUUCUGUUUUCAUUUGUGGGUCACAUAUAUGAUUACAUCCAUGUGUUAUAGCUGGGUUUUGUGGUUACAGCCUAUACACACACAAUCAGCUUGGCAAAUUAUUGUGCUUUUAAAAAAUUUAUGGAAUAAAGCAAACAUUUCCAUAACAUAGUAUAAUAAAAAAGA